UAGGGAAUCUUCCGCAAUUGGCGAAAGCCUGACGGAGCAACGCCGCGUGAGUGAUGAAGGUCUUCGGAUCGUAAAACUCUGUUAUUAGGGAAGAACAAAUGUGUAAGUAACUAUGCACGUCUUGACGGUACCUAAUCAGAAAGCCACGGCUAACUACGUGCCAGCAGCCGCGGUAAUACGUAGGUGGCAAGCGUUAUCCGGAAUUAUUGGGCGUAAAGCGCGCGUAGGCGGUUUUUUAAGUCUGAUGUGAAAGCCCACGGCUCAACCGUGGAGGGUCAUUGGAAACUGGAAAACUUGAGUGCAGAAGAGGAAAGUGGAAUUCCAUGUGUAGCGGUGAAAUGCGCAGAGAUAUGGAGGAACACCAGUGGCGAAGGCGACUUUCUGGUCUGUAACUGACGCUGAUGUGCGAAAGCGUGGGGAUCAAACAGG
rnacentral:rRNA from 1 species